rnacentral:rRNA from 1 species
AUUGAACGCUGGCGGCAUGCCUUACACAUGCAAGUCGAACGGCAGCAUGGGAGCAAUCCUGGCGGCGAGUGGCGUACGGGUGAGUAAUACAUCGGAACGUGCCCAGUCGUGGGGGAUAACGCAGCGAAAGCUGUGCUAAGACCGCAUAGGAUCUGCGUAUGAAAGCAGGGGACCGCAAGGCCUUGCCGGAUUGGAGCGGCCCAUGGCAGAUGAGGUAGUUGGUGGGGUAAAGGCUCACCAAGCCUGCGAUCUGUAGCUGGUCUGAGAGGACGACCAGCCACACUGGGACUGAGACACGGCCCAGACUCCUACGGGAGGCAGCAGUGGGGAAUUUUGGACAAUGGGCGCAAGCCUGAUCCAGCCAUGCCGCGUGCAGGAUGAAGGCCUUCGGGUUGUAAACUGCUUUUGUACGGAACGAAAAGACCUUUUCUAAUAAAGAGGGCUCAUGACGGUACCGUAAGAAUAAGCACCGGCUAACUACGUGCCAGCCGCCGCCGUAA